rnacentral:rRNA from 1 species
UACAGAGACCUCAAGCGUUUAUCCGGAAUCAUUGGGCGUAAAGCGUACCGAUAGGUGGUCUAAAAAGUCAGAAGUGAAAUCUCAAGGCUCAACUUUGAGACUGUCUUUUGAAACUUUUAGACUAGAGGGGCAAAGAGGAAGCUGGAACGAACGGUGUAGUAGUGAAAUGCGUUGAUAUCGUUCGGAACACCAAUAGCGAAGGCGGGCUUCUGGGUGCCACCUGACACUGCUAGGACGGAAAGCGUGGGGAGCGAAUGGG